UUACGGGCAUAUCACGUUGAAACACUGAUUCCCGUACGGUCGCCGAAGUUAAGCAGCGUCGAGCUAGGUCAGUAACUAGAUAGGUGACCGUUUGCGAAUACCAGGUUCUGUA